GUAGGUGGCAAGCGUUGUCCGGAAUUAUUGGGCGUAAAGCGCGCGCAGGCGGUUCUUUAAGUCUGAUGUGAAAGCCCACGGCUCAACCGUGGAGGGUCAUUGGAAACUGGAGAACUUGAGUACAGAAGAGGAAAGCGGAAUUCCACGUGUAGCGGUGAAAUGCGUAGAGAUGUGGAGGAACACCAGUGGCGAAGGCGGCUUUCUGGUCUGUAACCGACGCUGAGGCGCGAAAGCGUGGGGAGCAAACAGGGAUUAGAUACCCUGGUAGUCCACGCCGUAAACGAUGAGUGCUAAGUGUUAGGGGGUUUCCGCCCCCCUUAGUGCUGCAGCUAACGCAUUAAGCACUCCGCCUGGGAGUACGGCCGCAAGGCUG
rnacentral:rRNA from 1 species